CCGCAAAAGUUCUGAAUGUUACUCCACACUUAAGACCUUGUCGGCGCUUUGCCGGCUCUAUGUGUUUGAUCAUGGAGUCUCCCACUAUGACUACGUUGGGACGAUUUCGGUGGUCAGUCCGUUGUUUCGUUUGAUUAUCGCGAUGUUGAGUUGAAUUUUCCCUGUCCAUUUCUGUAUUGUGUGAUUGGUUUUGCUUACGAUUGGGUGUCUGCGUUGAUCGGUGGGUAUUUGCAUAUAUGUAUGUUCAACUUCGUUUCUUACAGCAUCCCGGGCAUUGCGAUCGCUUACGUUGUUUUCGUCAAAACUUAGGGCGGAAUACCUAUUGCUUAAAUUAAUACUCGGAUUAAUCACUUCGUUUGUCUGCUGUAAACAAUUUGCCAUUUGUGGGCACGUUUGUACCAUUUCUUCGUUACGAUUCGCAUUUAUCGCGCUUUCUUUGUGAUUCGAGUCUUUGUAAUUGAGGUAUUCGAUGAGUAAUCGCAUAGCAGUAAUUAGGGAAUCCUUUUCAUCCUCAGCGAUUUUGGCCUUUCCCUGCAAACCUGCCAAGAUAUAGCUUAGAUUUUUCACUCUCUCGUUCAAGUUGUUGUUAUCGCUUUUGAGGUCAAUGUUUUCAUUUAUAAGCUUGUGAUUUUCCAUCUUUAGAUUAUCCAUUUCUGUAUUGUGUGCAUUAGCAUGUUCGGUAAACAACUUAAUGGCUGUCGCAUUUGCAUUGACGUCUUUGGAUAUGGCUUCUAAUUGACUGUUGAGAGUCUCUAGGGAAAGAGUGCUAUUGUCUUUUUGGGAAGAGUGAGUUAUGGUCUCAUCAACAUGGCCGUUCUGGUCGAAAUCUUCAUUUACAGUGCUCGCCAACUGUACUUGUAUAGC